rnacentral:rRNA from 1 species
GAUGAACGCUAGCUACAUGCUUAACACAUGCAAGUCGAGGGGAAACGGCAUCGAAAGCUUGCUUUUGAUGGGCGUCGACCGGCGCACGGGUGAGUAACGCGUAUCCAACCUGCCCAUCACUUGGGAAUAACCUUGCGAAAGUAAGACUAAUGCCCAAUGACAUCCCACGAAGGCAUCCGAAUGGGAUUAAAGAGUUAUCGGUGAUGGAUGGGGAUGCGUCUGAUGAGCUUGUUGUCGGGGUGACGGCCCACCAAGGCAACGAUCAGUAGGGGUUCUGAGAGGAAGGUCCCCCACAUUGGAACUGAGACACGGUCCAAACUCCUACGGGAGGCAGCAGUGAGGAAUAUUGGUCAAUGGGCGAGAGCCUGAACCAGCCAAGUAGCGUGCAGGAUGACGGCCCUAUGGGUUGUAAACCGCUUUUAUAAGGGAAUAAAGUGGGUCACGUGUGACUUUUUGCAUGUACCUUAUGAAUAAGGACCGGCUAAUUACGUG